UGGGUAACCUGCCCAUAAGACUGGGAUAACUCCGGGAAACCGGGGCUAAUACCGGAUAACAUUUUGAACUGCAUGGUUCGAAAUUGAAAGGCGGCUUCGGCUGUCACUUAUGGAUGGACCCGCGUCGCAUUAGCUAGUUGGUGAGGUAACGGCUCACCAAGGCAACGAUGCGUAGCCGACCUGAGAGGGUGAUCGGCCACACUGGGACUGAGACACGGCCCAGACUCCUACGGGAGGCAGCAGUAGGGAAUCUUCCGCAAUGGACGAAAGUCUGACGGAGCAACGCCGCGUGAGUGAUGAAGGCUUUCGGGUCGUAAAACUCUGUUGUUAGGGAAGAACAAGUGCUAGUUGAAUAAGCUGGCACCUUGACGGUACCUAACCAGAAAGCCACGGCUAACUACGUGCCAGCAGCCGCGGUAAUACGUAGGUGGCAAGCGUUAUCCGGAAUUAUUGGGCGUAAAGCGCGCGCAGGUGGUUUCUUAAGUCUGAUGUGAAAGCCCACGGCUCAACCGUGGAGGGUCAUUGGAAACUGGGAGACUUGAGUGCAGAAGAGGAAAGUGGAAUUCCAUGUGUAGCGGUGAAAUGCGUAGAGAUAUGGAGGAACACCCAGUGGCGAAGGCGA
rnacentral:rRNA from 1 species